GGAGACGUGGCAGAGUGGUCGAAUGCACCGGUUUCGAAAACCGGCAUGGGGCAACCCAUCAGAGGUUCGAAUCCUCUCGUCUCCGCCA
rnacentral:tRNA from 1 species